UGUCUUUCAGUCCUUCCUAAUGACCAUCGAGCUUUGCAAAUGAAUCAUUGGAGUGUGGAAGGAACCCUCUGUGUCGGAUGAUCUUUCAGGGCAAGGGAGACAUAGUUUGCAGUGUGGGGGUAGGUAUUGGACCCCACUUGAAUUCAGAGGCUCUGAUGCAGAAAGGCCUCAGAGGAAGAUGGCUGUGUGGGUACCCGGAUGGACUGACAUUAGGGCUCAGGCCUCAGGAAUCUGAACAGAAGAUGAAAAAAGAAAGAAAAACAUGAACCUUCUUCGUCUUGCUGAUGCCCCGGUUUUGCUGGUGGGUGAGCCUUUGCUUACUUACUCUGUGUAAAGGAUCCAGCCCUUUGUCCGGAAUGUUUCCUGUAUGCGUCCUGCCAGUCAGCGGGCCGGGCUGUCGCUGUCAGACUGUGUGUCUACAGCAGACUCCUGGAGAAACAGCAUGCUUAUGUCACGAGCCACGUCUGUCACGGCAGGACCCAUGUUUCUCCUCAGGCUAAUCAUAUCUGAUGCAGGCACCAGGGCUCCCCCCCUUAAAAGCAAGGAUACCAGCUUGGGAAGAGGUGCCUUAAAGAUCAAAACCGGGUCUGCGGCAGUGACAUGCGGGUUUGUGAAUCGGGAAUGGCAGCGUCAAAUCUCUCCUGAAGCGAGGAGACAGCCGUUGGCCGGCAGAAACGGAGCACGGGGCGUUGCUGGCUCCAGUUAGGGAGACACGAUUUGCAAAGCGGCCAUGUUCACGGGCGGUGUUCCGUGAAGUCCUGUACAGAACGCUAGAAAAAUCAUCGAGGAAGGAACAGGUGACGUGUGAGAUACAAGCAGGUCUGUAUCUCACACGAGACGAGAGCAGAAAAGAGUUGCCUCUUCCCACCUUUCACUUUGAGGAGAGAUGGUUUUGCUCUGGACGGGCUGGGUGGUUUUUGUUUCGAGUAGGGAUAACAAGGGAGCAGGAGCUAAGAACUGAGAUUCAAACCUGGUAAGAUGAUGAUGGUGAUAAUCAUCAUCAUCAUCA